CAGAGGAAGGUUGCGGCAAUAACAGGUCUGUGAUGCCCUCAGAUGUCCCGGGCUGCACACGUGCUACAAUGAGUGGCGCAAUGUGCUAAUGUUUAAGGGAUAAGAGUGUGGUCAGUAGAACGUCGGGAUUUCCCCUGACGUCUCCCCCGCACGAUUAUCAGCCUUCCCUUAACAGGGCGGGCAACCUUUUCAAAAUACUGGUUUGAUGUUAAAGUAUUGAGUCGUUUUUUUUGGAUGGUGGUUUGUUAACCAAUACCAUCCGGCAACUGCUCGCGAGUUUGUGGUUCUGGCGACUCAUGGUGGGG
rnacentral:rRNA from 1 species